rnacentral:lncRNA from 1 species
UUCUUAAUUUUCUAUGUCAGGCUACAGAUAUAGGAUCUUAAUUUGAGCCAGUUUGCUACAGCAGGACAAUAAUCCUGCAGCAACAGGAAAUGUGAAUUAUCAUGUGGAUUUUAAUUAAUGAACAUUUCUGUAGGGGUUGAUACAUUUUUCUUAAGGGAAAAUCAAGUCUGAAGUUUCAAAGUGGAAAUUACAAACUUCAGAAGCCUUUUUAAGCCUCAAAUACACUACAAGGAAAGUUCUCCUGCAACAGGGUGAUCAAAUUAAGAUCCUACAUAUGUAUGAAAGUUAUGUACUAUAGUGGUAUAAAUAAGGCAAAGAUGCAUUUAAUUCAUGCUUAGAGACUUAGGCUUGAGAAAGUCUUAGACUACAAGUGUUUCUAAAUGCAUGUGAUUUGGGACAGUAAGAAUUCAUCUCUUUCUCUCUGUCCAUAUUCUGUAUUGUGUUGCCCCUUUAAUUCUUAUUUUCUUUUGAAGCCGUCUCUGUACAAUUACUCUAAAAGAGAAGUUGUGCCAUCAGCGUGCGGCACUGUGAGUUCCCCUCUGUUUACCAAGAGCAACCCAGAAGAGCUCAGUCCUUUGUUGAGCGCCAGUCACUCCCAGCCACACAGCUGUGACACACACGCAAGCAGAACUCUCAACAGGGUCUCCCUCUGGAACACGAGCAGUAACAUGAUCUGCAGAGAAGACCUGAGCCCUGGGACCAUUCCUCAGGACUACCUGACCUAAUGACUCCUUGCUGUCCCCAGUCCACCUGGACGUGCUGCUGCUCCAGUUUCAUCUGUUCUGCCUGUGGCUAUGGAACCCUGACCUGUUAACUGGACGUACUACCUUGUCCCGGACCUGCUGUUUUCGACUCUCUCUCUCUACCGCACCUGCUGUCUCUAACUCAAUGCUCGGCUAUGAAAAUCCAACUGACAUUUACUCCUGAGGUGCUGACCUGUUGCACCCUCUACAACCACUGUGAUUAUUAUUAUUACUUGACACUGCUGAUCAUCUAUGAACGUUUGAAUAUCUUGGCCAUGUACUGUUAUAAUUUCAACCCGGCACAGCCAGAAGAGGACUGGACACCCCUCAGAGCCUGGUUCCUCUCUAGCUUUCUUCCUAGGUUCCUUCCUUUCUAGGUAGUUUUUCCUAGCUACCGUGAUUCUACAUCUGCAUUGCUUGCUGUUUGGGGUUUUAGGCUAGGUUUCUGUAUAGCACUUUGUGACAUUGGCUGAUGUAAAAUGGGCUUUAUAAAUACAUUUGAUUGAUUGAUUCUUACACUGUAAUGGAAAACUGUAAAUUAUACAGUAUUUUCUAUUAUUAUCAACAGUAAAAUACUCAAUCAGAUAAAAUAACAUUAUAUUGGUUGCAUAUACAUUUAGCAGAUGUUAUUGCGGUUGUAGCGAAAUACUCUGAAAUGUUUUACUGCAGCAAACUGUAAAUUAUGGUGCGUUGUGGGAAAAUGUUGGGGGCGGGGAAAGAAUUGGGAAAGAAUUGCUUUAAGAAUUGCUUUCAAAUGGUACUUUAACUCUACCCCACAGAACACAGUACCAUACCAUAUUUUUGGAGAGCCAACAACUUUUUGACCACUAGUUGGUGCAUGGUAUUGUUUCUGAAGCAUUAACAUAUUUUGAGGCGUGCCGUGUAAGGGGCUAUAUUUGUUGCACCCAUGAGUGAGAACGCUGUUUAGGGGACAUUUUGGAGUGACAGCAAGUCUUAAACCUUAAAUGGUUGAGCAUUUUUACCAUGUCCUUUUGGUCUGUUUUACUCUGUAGUCACUGCCAGUUUGGAAGCCUUUGUGAAGGCCCCUAGAAGUGCAAUUGAUAUAAAAUACCUAAUGUUCAUUAAUAUGCUGUAUUGUUUGUAAACAAUUUACCUAGCAGCCAACCUGCU